AUUGAACGCUGGCGGCAUGCCUAACACAUGCAAGUCGAGCGAGCGGCGGACGGGUGAGUAAUGUAUGGGGACUGCCCGAUAGAGGGGGAUAACUACUGGAAACGGUGGCUAAUACCGCAUACUAUCGGAUAACCCAUAUGGGAUUAGCUAGUAGGUGGGGUAAAGGCUCACCUAGGCAACGAUCCCUAGCUGGUCUGAGAGGACGACCAGCCACACUGGGACUGAGACACGGCCCAGACUCCUACGGAGGCAGCAGUGGGGAAUUUUGGACAAUGGGGGCAAGCCUGAUCCAGCCAUGCCGCGUGUAUGAAGAAGGCCUUCGGGUUGUAAAGUACUUUCAGCGGAGAGGCGUUACCCGCAGAAUAAGCACCGGCUAACUCCGUGCCAGCAGCCGCGGUAAUUC
rnacentral:rRNA from 1 species